CAUUUAAAUUAAUCCUUGCGGAUUAGUGAAAUAUUCUUUCAGAAUAUGAAAUUGCUUAGCAAUGAAAUACGCC
rfam:Eubacterium sp. CAG:180 genomic scaffold, scf48